AUGGAAAUGAUUGGCUGGAGUUUUUCGAGCCCUGCCCGUUCCACAGAUGAUUGACUUGUUUAAUUUUCAUGUCAGUACUUCUAACUCAGUGGCUGUAAGCGGGUUAUGAUAAGGAUUUCAAGUAAUUUUGCAAAAAUGGCCAAAAAAGCGAAUUCCAUACCCAACCUUUAAUAAUUUAUAUAAAUAAAUCUUUCCUUAUACCCAAAUUGUGAUUUGGUUUGUGGCUAUAUGGGAGUUGGGGAAGACGGGGGCUCAUUCACGUUAGGCCCUAGGCACCCCUAGACUGGGGCGUAACACAAGACAGCAGUGGCGAUACGGGAGAUCCUUGGAACUUAUGAUCUCCAGGAGGAACAUGGUGUCAACGUGAAACGCACUUUGGCGCUUCGUGCUCUUCCUGUCUACCUACGUGAGGAAGAUUCAGAGUUCUUCAAGACCUACAAUCAAGAAGAGGAUCCUGAUCUUAGCGAUACUUCUGUUGUCCUCCUCACAACUGGCGCGGACCCCUUUAACCCCUAACCCUUAAAUUUUCUACCAACCUGUUCAAUUUAAUGUUGUUAAAAAACACGACCCUUUGUCUUCAUGUCAUUGUUUAAAAUUUAAUAAAUAACCUAUUUUGUAUCA
ensembl:lncRNA